GACGAACGCUGGCGGCGUGCUUAACACAUGCAAGUCGAGCGAGGCCCAAGCAGUGGCAACACUGUGGAAGGCCUAGCGGCGAACGGGUGAGUAACACGUGAGCAACCUGCCCCGAAGUCUGGAAUAACACCGGGAAACCGGUGCUAAUGCCGGAUCGCCCCCCACCGGGCCGCAUGACCUGGUGAGGAAAGGCCAUGCCUGAUAAGUAUGGGUGCUUCGGGGAGGGGCUCGCGGGCUAUCAGCUAGUUGGUGAGGUAACGGCUCACCAAGGCGUCGACGGCUAGCUGGUCUGAGAGGACGACCAGCCACAC
rnacentral:rRNA from 1 species